rnacentral:rRNA from 1 species
CCUCGGUUCUAUUUUGUUGGUUUCUAGGACCGACGUAAUGAUUAAUAGGAAUAGUUGGGGGCAUUAGUAUUUAGUAGCUAGAGGUGAAAUUCUUGGAUUUACGAAAGACUAACUUCUGCGAAAGCAUUUGUCAAGGAUGUUUUCAUUAAUCAAGAACGAAAGUUAGGGGAUCGAAGACGAUCAGAUACCGUCGUAGUCUUAACCAUAAACUAUGCCGACUAGGGAUCAGACUGUCGUUUGUUUACUGACGCGUUUGGCACCUUGAGAGAAAUCAAAGUUUUUGGGUUCCGGGGGGAGUAUGGUCGCAAGGCUGAAACUUAAAGGAAUUGACGGAAGGGCACCACCAGGAGUGGAGCCUGCGGCUUAAUUUGACUCAACACGGGGAAACUC